GUUGGCGUAUUCUGGCGUCGACGUGGCGGCUUCCCGGCGUCCGGCGUCCGGCGUCCGGCGUCCGGCGUCGGCGUCUACUCCGCAUAGAUUCAUUUCGAGCUCGAGGCGUCGCCGCGUCGGUCGCUCUCGGCUGUUGCUGUUGUCAUAUUUUCUACACCGUUGGUUGCUCUCUGGUUGUUGAAUUGUUGAUUGUCUUUCAAAUCCUGUCAUUCGGUUCGGGCCAGGGUGGUUGUUUUACAAUUAAUAAUUGUAUUACGACCACCUUGGUCUGGAAUAUGGAUCGCCGAACCUUGUCGUUCGUGUGCGGAGAGUCGAAAGCCGUUAAAAGUCAAAAUCAAUGUUUCUACGCAUCAAUCAAUAUGGGCUGAAGAAUAUUCAAACUCGCAGUAACACACUAUCUCAAAACUGAUCCGUUGUUUUCACCUUCUUCAAGAUGGCAGCUAAACUGUCAGUAAUACACUGUAUCUCAAAACUGAUCCAAUGUUUUCACCUUCUGCUGUGGGGUUAUGGUAAUUUAAUCUUACACAAAUCCAUUUUCUUGUGCGUACCUCAGAAAUAUAUAUACACUGAUCCAUUAGCAUCGUAAUUCCUAGAUUAACGGUUUUUGUGUACGUAUACCAUGCAGUCUAAAUGUCAUUGCCAUGGCCUUGGCUCGUGUGUUUCCAUCCGACGGACAAACUCGCUAUGGGAUAGAAGUAUGUUUGACAAGGCUGGGCAUUUAGAUUGCUUGGCAUACGUACACAAAAACAUCUUGUCGUUAUAUUAAAUUAAAGAUGCCACUAUUUUGGAACAAUUAGAUUAUCUGAGAUAUGUACUUGGAAACAGGAGAUGUAUUGAGAUUUUUAUUAUCUGACCUAACCUAUACAUCCU